AUUGAACGCUGGCGGCAUGCUUUACACAUGCAAGUCGAACGGCAGCGCGGGCUUCGGCCUGGCGGCGAGUGGCGAACGGGUGAGUAAUGCAUCGGAACGUGCCCAGUAGUGGGGGAUAGCCCGGCGAAAGCCGGAUUAAUACCGCAUACGACCUGAGGGUGAAAGCGGGGGACCGAAAGGCCUCGCGCUAUUGGAGCGGCCGAUGUCGGAUUAGCUAGUUGGUGGGGUAAAGGCUUACCAAGGCGACGAUCCGUAGCUGGUCUGAGAGGACGACCAGCCACACUGGGACUGAGACACGGCCCAGACUCCUACGGGAGGCAGCAGUGGGGAAUUUUGGACAAUGGGGGCAACCCUGAUCCAGCCAUGCCGCGGGCGGGAAGAAGGCCUUCGGGUUGUAAACCGCUUUUGUUCGGGAAGAAAUCCUCUGGGCUAAUACCCCGGGGGGAGGACGGUACCGGAAGAAUAAGCACCGGCUAACUACGU
rnacentral:rRNA from 1 species